AGAGUUUGAUCCUGGCUCAGGACGAACGCUGGCGGCGUGCUUAACACAUGCAAGUCGAACGGUGAAGCUCAAGCUUGCUUGGGUGGAUCAGUGGCGAACGGGUGAGUAACACGUGAGCAACCUGCCCCGGACUCUGGAUAAGCGCUGGAAACGGCGUCUAAUACUGGAUAUGACACCAAUCCGCAUGGGUAUGGUGUGGAAAGUUUUCGGUUCUGGGAGUGGCGUCGCGGCCUAUCAGCUUGUUGGUGAGGUAAUGGCUCACCAAGGCGACGACGGGUAGCCGGCCUGAGAGGGCGACCGGCCACACUGGGACGUGAGACACGGCCCACGACUCCUACGGGAGGCGAC
rnacentral:rRNA from 1 species